AUGAUCUCUAUCCUGUGUGACAUGUGUAAACUGAGACUCAUCGGUGAAUCGAAUGUCAUCCUGUGGCUGUCUCAUAAACGAUGGUCUCCUGUCCUCCAAUUCCUCUCUGAUCAUCAGAUCUAUGGCUACUACUACCAGUAUCAUCAUUACUCUCUCUGGUGUCCGUAUCUUUGUCAGAUAGCUUCUGUACUCUCGAGAGUGGUGCACGUACAACUGUCUUUUUUUU
rnacentral:lncRNA from 1 species